rnacentral:rRNA from 1 species
GAUGAACGCUAGCGGCAGGCCUAAUACAUGCAAGUCGAACGGUAACAUGAGUAGCAAUACUUGAUGACGAGUGGCGCACGGGUGCGUAACGCGUAUGCAAUCUACCUUUAACCGGUGAAUAGCCCGAAGAAAUUCGGAUUAAUACACCAUAGUAUGUUUGAGUGGCAUCACUUAAACAUUAAAGUUCCGACAGUUGAAGAUGAGCAUGCGUGACAUUAGCUAGUUGGUAAGGUAACGGCUUACCAAGGCAACGAUGUCUAGGGGAUCUGAGAGGAUUACCCCCCACACUGGUACGAAGACAGGGACCAGACUCCUACGGGAGGCAGCUGUAAGGAAUAUUGGAAAAUGGUGGCAACACUGAUCCAGCCAUGCCGCGUGAAGGAUGAAGGCCCUAUGGGUUGUAAACUUCUUUUGUACGGGAAAAAACCUUCUUACGUGUAAGAAGCUGAUUGUACUGUAAGAAUAAGGAUCGGCUAACUCCGUGCCAGCCGCCGCCGUAACAC